rnacentral:lncRNA from 1 species
UUUUUUUCUUUGAUGAUGUUUUAUCCCAUUGGGUUUUAGUCGCAAGGUUUUUAAUGAGGCAACUUUAUCAACGCGUAUAAAUAUGAAUAUUGUACUAUUUUUCUUAACUAUGAUUUUUUUCUCACUAGAUUUUUUCUAAUAAGGUUUUAACAAGAUAUAGUUAUUCUUUGUUAAUAGAUAUUAAAGGGAGAGUGUUAUAAAUAUUAUUUUAAAAUAUAAGUCAUCAUGAUGUCUAAAAUAUUAAUUUUAUUAUUUUAAUUUUAUAAAAAAAAGUAGUAUUUUAGUCAAAUCUUUUUGUGAUAAAUUUUUAUAAAUAUAUUUGAUUGUAAUAUUUAAUAAAUCUUGAGUGGGUGUUGUGCAAAGCCUUUAGGCUUCCCACCAACGUUGAUUGUUAAGUGAAGUCGAAUUAGAUAACAUGUGUUGUAUGUUGGCAGUUAGUUGAUCUCAUCCCCUCAACUUCUUUUUCCUUCUAAUUCCAACAGUUUUAUCAAUAAUUUACGCAAUAAAAAAAGAAAAAUGGAUUAACUUUAUGGAAUUGAAUCCAAAACAGCUAAUUAAGUUUAUAACAUCCGGGAAUUGUUGCUGAAUUAGGACAAGAUUUUUCGCGGUUGAAAGUCUUGUUUAUAUAUGUUAAAUUCUAUGUAUGGAAUAAAGUUAUUCAAGAGUUAAAUUAUUAGAGUUUGGAUAAAUUUAAUCUAAAUUAAAUUAGAUUUGAGAUGGACUUUUGUUAUCCAACACUCAUACAUUAAUAUAAACAAGAGUGAUGGAAGAUAUGGGGAAUAGCAAUAGGGACAGGCUCGUGUUACACAUUACCCUUCCCUUGAUGGCAUUUAUAUUCAGACUCAAUUCAUAAACUGUUGCAGAAAAGUUGUGGUCCAACCAGUUUUAAUUGGUUUGAAGUGAUUUAGGUGGAAAGUGUUCACCCAAUUUGCGCCGUGAUGGAAACAACAACCAUAGUACUAUAAACAUCACUAAAAACGUUGGUCUACCAUAUAAAACACUUGCUAGAUUUUUAACCCAAAGGUUUUUUUUUUUAAUGUGUGCCACUUUUCGGAAUUAAAUGGUUAUGUUGGGAUUCAAUUAAAUUUCAAAAUUAAAUUAAAUUGGACUCUUGAACGGGAUAAAUUCUUCCAUCACUGUUUUCUUCAUUCGUAAGAUUCGAACUUAAAACUUAUUUUAAGAUAUUUGAGCUCCUUACUACUCAAUUUAAUUGGAAUAGCAAACUAGUUUCUUUAGUGGGAUUAACUGCAAAAAAAUUUUCUUUCUCCCUAUCAUUUCAUUGAUGACAAUUUCAGUGACUCCAAACCUCGAUAUAGUUAAUGUUUAUUAUUUCAAGUUACAACAUAACCAGACCCCUCCCUGAUAGAGUAUGUGAAUUUUAUGGAUGAUAUUAUAGUUACAGGGAGCACGGCUGGCAAUAUAAGUAGUUUUAUUUAGUUGUUACAUAAAGAGUUUUCCCUAAAGGACAUGGGGGAUCUCCACAACUUCUUAGGUAUUGAAGUUACUCGAUCUUCUACUGGGAGUCUGCACUUAUGCCAGUGCAAGUGCAUCAGAGAGCUUCUUGAUAGGAGUUCAUUGACAAAUGCUAAGAGUAUAAGUUUAGUUCACUGUAAUGGAAUAAGACUAUAAUUGAAUAGAGCUGUAAUGGAAUAAGGCUAUAAUGGAAUAGCGCUGUAAUCAGUAAUUCAACUAUUUAGUUGAAUGGAAUGGAAUAGAACUGUAAUAAUAUUCUUGUGUUUGGUUGAAUGGAAUGAUGUAGUAAUAGCAUAAAGAAAAAAAUUAAAAUGACCAAAAUACCCUUAGCAAAAUUUUUUUAGGUAGAUGAUUAUUGUUAUUCUUAUUAAAUUUUAAUAAGAUUAUUAUUAAAAAUAAUUUAAUAAAUAUAAUAAAUAAUUUAACCAUAUUUUAACAUAAUUAUUAUUAAAUAUAAUUUAAUAAAUAAUAUAUAGUUUGAUAAAAUUCUUAAUAUAAUUAUUAUUAUAUGAAUUAAAAAAUCAUAAUAUAUAAUACUAUAAAAAUAAUAUAUAAUCUACUUUAUUAUAUUUAAAUUGCAAUACAUAUUUAAUGUGCUAAAAUAUCAUUAGUGAAACAAAAAAUUUAAUCAUUCUAUAAUAAAAAACAAAAUAUUAGAAGUAAUAAAUAACUUGACAAUUAUAUUUCACAUCCAAACAUAGCAUUCAUAUAUUAACAAAAAGUUACAUGAUUUCAUUAGUUUAUAUGUCAUAAUCCAUAUGUUAUAAAAUUUUACAACCUCAAAAAAUUACUACAUUGUAAUGAUAUUCUAUAAUGUCAUUAUACCAUCCAAAUAUUCAUAUAUUAUACCAAUAGCCCUCGCACUGCAAAUGUAGCACUCCAAACCCGGCCCAGACGUUAUGACCGGAUCCGACAUGCGUUCAAAACAUUUUAUAUUAUUGGUCCAGAAAAACUUACUUAGUGUUUUAAAAGAUAAUUUCAUUAUAGGUUAAAGUGAAUGGAAGCUGUGCACCAGGUAAGAAACCGGAAAAGAGGUGGUGAGUCCAUCGGACUGCUUAAGUACCAAGCUCCUUUCGGAUCCAAUCCUAGACAUGCAUACCGCCAUUGCCACACCUUAACGUCAUGGAUAUUUCUAGGAAACCGAUUUGAUUAAGUCAUUUUUAGGAAAAGUGAUUAAUUUUGGAAAAUACUUUCAUUGCGGAAGCUUUAUUUGUUGUCGUGUUAUUUUGAAAUCAAUUGUUGUUUUUGAAAACGCGCCCUAAAGCUAUCCAAUUUCAACAGUUAAAAUAAGUAAUACCUAUCUUAGUAAUACAUAUUAAAACCAUCAAAAAUAAUUAAGCGGCCUUAUUACAUUUAAAAACCCAAAACUUCAAACGUAAAUAAAAGGAUGUCCAGUUCACCAGAAGAAAAUCAAACUUUCAGAACGGGUGGCCACUCUGAAUUCCCUCACAGCUCCAAGCCCACUAUGGUUGGGGAUUUCCUACGUGGAUGAAAAUAAAAGGGGUGAGUUUGGGAAAACUCAGUGUGUAAGGAAAACCUAUUCAAAGCCCAAGUCAGCUCAAGCCUAUUGAGCCUAAGCCCAUUCAGGUAACAGUGGUACUGGGCCAGAGCCCUUUUCAGAUUACAAUAAACUGGGCCUUAGCCCCUUAUUUAGAUAACAGUAUGGCCCAUAGGCCCAUUUCAAAAUAUAUGCAACAUCAGUAAACAUAUGCAAGCCCAUUUGGGGAGAAUACUCAACCCACCAACCACUACACUCCACCCGUACCAGCCAUACACUCCAUGUGGGGAAUAGCUCAACCCACCCAGCCCAACACUCCACAAUUGCAGCCUUGCUGCUCAGUUAACAGUAAAUUGAGGCAAAGCCUCCAGUACGUGGACAAGCCACUUUCAGUACUUCCUCCGUCAAUAUCCCAGUCUCAUGCAUCAAAUAAUAACAACAUGGCAUGCAGUAAAUAACAACAGUCAAACAUGCAUUUAGGUCAAUUUACAUGGCAUGCAGUAAAUAACAACAGUCAAACAUGCAUUUAGGUCAAUUUAACCCUAGGGGUAUUUCGGUAAUUUAUCUCCUAGGGGUAAAACUGUAAAUUUUCCACUUUUAAAGGUAUUUCAGUAAUUUAUCUAUUUUAGGGUUUUUCAUGCAUAUUCCUACCUUUCACGUACUAACAGAAUCACUACCGAGGGUUCUUACCGAAUUGGGCCCGUUGGCCCAUCAUUCCAAUUUUGGCCCAUUAAGCCCAAAAAUAUCGAGGGCACAGAAAUCAUGCACUUUGCAAUCCAAACAUUGCAGCUUACCUAAAACAAUAAUCGAUUUACCUCACGAACAUUUGCACACUCGCAAAUCUACAAAAUACCGGUUUUCGACAUUUCGGCUUUUCGACUUUUGCCGAUCUAGACUAAGAAAGAGGGUGUUAGUUACACACCUGUUUGCGACGAUAUGCUGAUGAAAUCCACACACGAACCGCCUACAAUUGGAUUACUAACACGUUAAUCUAACUAUUCAAAUACAAACUACGUAUUAACCCCUUACAAUAUUCGGCCAACUACACCUACAGAUCAUAGUAAGCUUAUAAGAAAACAAUAAGCAACUCAUUAACAAAUUUUUGUCAAUGUUUACCACAUAAUCAUAAUUUCACUGCAAGCUGUCUUCCUGAGCAACAGUCACUAAAUCAUUUAUAACUGGAGCUACGAAACUCCAAAUCAAGUUCCGUUAAUUUUCCUUGAAAAUAGACUCAUAUAUCUUCUAUUCAUAAAAUUUUCAGAAUUUUUGGUUUAUCCAAUCAAUACCAGAUUUUUCUCAAAGUUUCCCAUGUUUCACUGUUUGACUAAUCUGACCACUCUUCAUUACGAAUCAAAUUUCUCAUUGUACAGAAUUCAAAAUAUGUUCUCGUUUAUUCCAUUUGAAACUACACUCAUUAAUAUUUAAUUACAUAAUUUAUUCAACUUCUAACUCAUCUCCUACAAUUUAUGGUGAUUUUCCAAAGUCACAUUACUGCUUCUGUCCCAAGCAGAUUUAUUACCAAAUCACUCUUUCACACCUAACUUGCAUGCUUGUUAUUUAAACAUGUAUAUCACCAAUCAAUCAUCACAUAUCUAUGAUUUUACUUAAGUAUAAUCUCCAUUUCAUCAUUUUAAAGCACAACAUGUUAGCCGAUUUUUCCCCUUAGCAUCUAAGGCACUUGCAUGCUCAUUUGUUUGGCUCAACUUCACCUAUCUUCCAUUUUUCAUCAAAAGAACAUGAAACAACAACCAUUUCCUUCAUUUUAAUUCAUGACUAAAUGCUCACUACACAACUAAAAACCAAAAUAUGCUUCAAGAGUUAAGGUAGAAUCAAGAAGAACUCAUGAACCUCAAAAUAGAAACAAGGUACCAAAAACUUACCUUCAAUUUUCUUCCCCAAGUGACCGAACAUUUAAGAGCUUUCUCCUCUCCUUUCUCUUCUCUAACUUUAGGCUAUGAUGAACAAAGAUGGACAAAACUUUGUUCUUUUCACCCCUUUUUUUUUUUAAUAAAAUUUUAUAUUUCAUCCAUUUAAUUCUUUAAUACAAAAGACAUGAAAUGCCCAUCAUGGAACAUUUACCUAAGCCAUUAUCAUGGAACAUUUACCUAACCCAUUAUCAUGGAAUAUUUACCUAAUCCAUUAUCAUGGAACAUUUACCUAACCCAUUAUCAAUUUGUACCAUAAAUUAUGGAUAUCAAGUACUUGGCUGGCCACUUCAUGUAAAAUGGGAGGUUUGUCAUGCAAAUCCUCCUAUUUCGCACUCCUAUUUAUUUGGCCACUUCAAUUUACCCUAUAGCAUUUUCAAACAUUUUCAAAUAGGUUCUAUUUCAUAAUUCCACCCCCUUUUUGUUAUGGAACAAAAAUUAACUAAAAUUGUCUGGUUCUAUCUUAAGUUUGGGCUUUCUAGAGGCCCACUAACAUAAUUAAACCUAUGCCAACAUUCACAGGAUUCCCAAAAAUUGGGGCGUUACAGCAAAAGUUGCUGCUGAAGGCUCCACACAAGUUCCUGAAGUCUCUGAAUGUUCUUCUCUUGUGAUAAGAUGAUCUGCAACAAGUGAAAUAUUAGAAGUUAAUCACAAGUAGAAUAGCCGGCAAAAGAUAUGUAUCAUGCCAAAAACAUAACUUCAUUAUAAUUUGCCUUUUCCCAAUAGCAUAUUGUAAAGGAAAUAGCAAUGUUCAUUCAUGGAUAAGUGAAUAUGUGCACUAGAACACCAUAAUUAGUUUCAAAAUGAAAUCAAGACUAUCCAACAGAUGCCACAAUAGAUAAAAGAAAGAAUUUUAUCAACAAAAAUGGAACGUGCUAUGUCACAUUGUUCAUAAAAAAGAUUUUGUCUUCUUAUAUUUAAUAAAUAAACGAACCAUGGAUAGAAAGUUUUAAGCAUGCAAAUAUUUUAUUUUUAGUACAAGCAAGCAAUUAUGUUAUAGGGACCAAACCCUGUACCUUGUGCCAAUCAAAUUGAAACCAGCUAACCAUGCGAAUAGCAAAUUCAUCCAAAGUUUCAAACCCAAAUGAAUCACUGUAAUAGAAAGAGCACUGAGGAAUAUUCAAAGUCAAAAAAAACAAAAACAGAAAGUAUAAAUUAGAUUUAAAGGCUAUAAAUAGCGUAGUGGUGAUGGUGGUGGUCUCAAGCAUUAGUUGAUUCUAUUCACUAUUUUUCAGCAACAAAAUACCAAUCAAAUUAAUGAAUAAGCAUGCAUGAUCCAAGUCCAACAUUGAAUUUAAUUAAUGCUCAACUUCAAGUUUUAAAAUAUUGGGUAUUUGAAGUUGUAAAGUACUUGAAUACAAAUUCUAGGUUUUAUUUAAUAAAAAUUAUUUUCUUCAUUUCAAACAUAAUAUAAGGUAAUUUAUCAAAUCUAUAAUUAAAUUUCAAGAAUUUCUUGAUUAGACUGAUUCAGAUCCUAAUAAACAAGUGUACGGGCAAUUCAUGGGCAUUUUUCAUUCGUGUCAAGCAUACAAAUAGCAACUAAUACCCAAAGUUUCAAACCAAAAUUAAUUACUGUAAUAGAAAGAACACUGAAACACUGCUGAUAAAAUGGUUUUAUGAAAUUAUCUACUAUUGGAAUAUUCAAAGUCAAAAAACUAAGAAAUUGGAAGUAUAAAUUAGAUUUGAAGGCUGGAAACUGCAUGGUGAUGGCGGUAGUUUAAAGCAUCUAUUGAUUCUACUAUACCAAUCAAAUUAAUGGAUAACAUGCAUGAUCCAAGUCCAAUACUGAAUUUAGUUAAUGCUCAAGCACAAGUUUUAAAAUUUUGGGUAUUUGAAGUUGAAAAUCUUAGCAAAUACUUAAAUGCAAAUUCUGGGUUUUAUUUAAUUAAAAUGAAAAUGACUAGAUAUAAAUAAUUAGAGUAAGUUAAGAAGCUUACCAGUACUUUUUAUAGUCUUCUCAUCUAUAUCACAAUGAAAGUGAUUCCAGCUAUUUCACCUGCAAAAAAUGAUAAAAUUAAUCACCUUUUUAUUUUUUUAUAAAAUAAAAAGUGAAAGAAUUGAUACCCCAUUGGAGGGGUACGAACAACCCCAUUGGCAAUGAACAUACCCAUGAAUUCUAUGCUUGCUAUGUCACACUAUGAAGAUGAUAACAAAGAUGAUAACUUGAGAUUGAAAGUUUUAGAAAUGGAGAAGAUACUUGAGGAAACUACGUAAGAACUGACACAGAAGAAGGCUGAAUGGCAGAACCUAAUCAAGGAAAAUGAGGAGAUAAUAAAUCGUUGCAGAUCAAUGGCUGAAGAUAAAGAUGGACUGCAGAAGGAAAUUCUGGAGGCAAAGAGAACUGUAUAUAGUCACUGGUCAAAACUACAAUAAUCAGCUAAUAAACGAAGAAAUGUAUAUAGUGCACUUGUCAAAACUACGGGCUUUUCUUGUAACAAACAAACCCAUUUACUUAAAUAAAGACUCACUAACUCAAAACAUAACCAAAGAUUCCUAUCACUAAAAUCACCACCAACAAUUUGCCUCAUUAAAUACACUAACAAACUAUCAAUUCCUGUAGCAGAAACAUCAAUCAUUUCUUUAGUAACCCAAAUUAAUUGUUCCUUUACCCAAUCAACAAGCUUUCCAUACAAUUCAUUAACAAUUCCAACAAGUAAACUUAAAAACAGCUUAUACCUAUCAAUGAAAAUAGCAUAUAAGUGGUUAAUAUGAAUUUUGGCGAAAUAGGGUUCGAUUAAAACACCAUAGAGAAUAGCUUGGUUAAAUAGAGUGUAUUCUUGGGGAUCUGAGAUAGUUAACGAAAGGGGGGGUUUAAUUUCGAUAGAAGAAGGUCAAAAGCUUGCCUUAGAAAGAGUUAUAGCUGAUUGUGAGCUUCAUAGGAUAAGACUCUAAUCAGUUGCAAAACCAUUAAGAGUAGUUUUCAUUAAGACAAAGCAAAAACUUAAUACCUUGUCAGCGAACUGCUUCACUCGAUUCAGCACCGAUUUAACAUCUGGGUGUUGGAUCGUUAGCCAUUUCCUCUCACACCGAAGUCAGAUUUUCUCGAGAAAACUGAGGAAUCUGGAUUUCAAGCUUCAUUUUUGUUGAGAGAAAUUGAAACCGUUGACCUUGAUUUCAACCGGAGCUUGAGGAUGAAUUUGUGGAGCCUAAGAGGAGUGAGAAUCGAUGAAAUUCGCCGGUAGGUAAAAUUUUGAUGGCUUUUAAUUUGAAAUUGAAUCUGGGUUCAGGCUUAGAUAGGGUUGGUAAGGAUGCUUCAGACGUGAAAAAGAGGGAGAAGGUUGAAGGAAAUGGGAAUCAGACGUGAAAAAAAAAAGAGAAGAAAAUGCUCAGUUGUGAGAAAGAAACUAGAAGGGUAAAGUUGAAAAAUUUUCACACUGAAUUGGUAUUCCGUAGGGGGAGUGCUGAAUUGUAAACGGCAGUUUUGCCUUGAAUAAGGCUGUAUGGAAUAGGGUUGUAAUAGCCCAUUACAACCAACCAAACAAUGGAACAGGGAUGAGACCACUGAAUUCAGCUGUAAUGGCUUAGCAUUACAGCCAACCAAAUAUAUUGUAAGAGUGUUCAUACACCAAUGAUCAGUUCGUCCAUGUUGUCUAAACAUGAGGGUGACUGUCUUGUUGAUCCUACAGAGUAUUGAAGUCUUGCUGGUGCGCUUCAAUAUGUGCUAUUAACUCAGCCUGGUGUUGCUUAUGCUGUGAAUCGUGUAUGCAAGUGUAUACAUGCGCCUACUUCAGUUUAUUUGAUUGCUUUAAAAAGGAUUUUACGGUAUUUACGUGGGACUAUUGAUCAUGGCCUGGUUUAUCCUCCAUUCGACAGACUAUCUCUCGUCAGUUAUGCUGAUGUAAACUGGAGGUUGAAUUUUGAUGAUCGCUGGUCUACAACAGGAUAUUGUGUGUAUUUUGGCAAUACGCCCAUCUCGCGGUGUUCGAAAAAGCAACAAGUUGUUUCUUAAUCAACAACAAAAACCAAAUAUUGAAGUCUUGAUGCCACCAUCAGUGAUAUUACAUGGUUAGUCUCUCUGUUAACAUAGUUACAAAUUCACUCUGCUGACUCCCCUAUUAUUUGGUGUGACAAUUCUAGUGCAGUAGAGGUUGCUGCAAAUCCGGUCUUACAUUCCAAGCUUAAACAUGUUGAACUUGACCUAUUCUUUGUCCGUGAAAAUGUAGCUAACAGUUCACUCAUUUUGGUGAGGUUCUAGCUUGUGACCAAGUUGCUGACAUUUUUACAAAACCAUUGUCUAUCUCUUUGUUUAUUGGGUUUCAUAAUUUACUUCGGGUCUUACCUAUUGAGAAGCUGGGUGAAUGUUAGAGUAUGUGAAUUGUAGAAGCCCAUUUUUGCCCGGCCCAUCAUAAACCAAAAAACCAUAGAAAUAAGUUUAACAGCCUAUUUACACAAAAAAGUCUAAAUAACCCAUGUUACAUUCAACCCAAAAGGCCUAAAAUUAACCUAAACCUUAAUGGCCUUAUAGGCCCAACACGUACUUCUAUAGCUCGCCCGACGCUCUAGGGUUGGCUCUGCCCACUCCUUGCACGAAAUGGAAGCCCUUGCUCAUUGACCUUCCCCCUAACCUGCAAACAAACCAAAAGAAAAACAGAAACAGCAACACGCAAAGGCAGACAUCAAUAGAAACAAACAAAAAAGAACUAACAGUUGUAUUAAUCGGCUAUAAAGCCACAUGAAAUUUUUAAUUUUUGGGGGAUUCUAAUACAGAGAAAUCAAAUACAACAACAAAAGAAUUUUGAAACAGAUUCAAGAAUCGAAAAUGUGCCCUUUUUAUUUUAUUAUUCGAAAUAAAAUAACUAAAUAAUAAACUUACCGUCGUUUUGCUUUCUCGUCGCUGUCAGAGGCUAUCGCCGACUCCUAAAACCUCGUAACCCGUUGGGUUUCCGAUGAGGGUCCGAAAGGGGAAACAGUGAGGCCGAAAACCCUUGUUUUUAUUUUUCUCUUUCCAUUUUCAUUGUUUUUUGGUUCAAAAACACCCAAAUCGUGUUUGAAAAGGGGAAAAAAGGUCUAAAGGGCCAAUUUUGGUGCACCUUUGGCCACCGUCCACGGCAAGGCCAUGAUGGUGCGGCGACUGACCACCGGUGGCCUUCUUGGCUAAUUUCUGGGUUUAGCCCAGAGAGAGAAAGGAGAAUAGAGAGUUUUUUUUUUAAAGCUGAAAGAAUUAUUUUUUUGUUGAAUUUUUUUUAUUUAUAAAGGGACCAUACAACGUCGUUUUGGGCCCUAGUUUCAGGCGCCAAAACGGAGUCAUUUUAGCAUCUAUCCGUGCGUGACCCCACCCGCUCUGGGGGGUCCGCGCGUUUUUGACCAAUGGGCUAUUUGCGCGAAUAGCCCUUCCGCUUUUACAACGCGCUUCAAAUCGGUCCUAUUCACUUUUUAUUCUCUUUUAAUCUUGCCACACAUUUUAUUUUGCUUCAAUUUGGUCUUUUUGGAACAAUGCAUUUUAGAGGGCAGGGAAUAUUUCCCAUUUGGUCCCCUAUAUCAUUCGUGCUGUAGAAUGCCCAUUUCGCCCUGGCCCUUAGAACUAUUUAUAACAAAUAAAUAAAUCAAAUAAAAAGCCCAAAAUAUAUAAACCAGAAAUAAAAAUUAAAGUUCACAGUCCAUAAAUACAAACCCAAAUAUAAAUUGAGGAUAAAUUCUAAAACCCAUUUCACAAAUAAAACUUUGGCCCAAAUUAAAGUAAAUAAACCUAACCCAAAAUCCCAUUACACCCAAAACCCCAACUUAAGACCUAGCCCAAAAGAAAUACAAUGCCCCAAUGGUCCAAUAUCAAAAUUGGCGUAAAUGGCCCAGGCAAGUUGAUGUUUCUAGAAACCCUAGGUCCCCCCAUACUGCAGCUCCCACGAAUGACCUUGCCACGUCCGCAGCCCUCUCCGUACGAUGCCGAACCUACGAGAAGAAAUCAAAUAACAACAAUACAGUAAAUAACAACAAGAAAAAUAACAAUAAAAUAGAGGGGAAAAUAAAAAAUUUGUAAUUUCUAUUUUUUUUUAUAUUAUUGCGGCUAUAUAAGGCCAAUUGUAAACAAAAUAUUUUUUUUACACACGCAUAUUGGAAUUCAAAGAAAUCAAAUCAACUUGGCAAAAGGUUGCGUUUAUUUUUUUUUAAUUUAUCUUACUUUCAUUGAUUUUGAGUGUGGUCUUGCUUGGUGAUAGCAAAAAUAAAAGGGUGUUGAAACCCUUUCGUUUUCAGAGAUCUCUCAUUCUUAUUUUCAAAAGCAAAGCAGGAUUUAAAUUCGUUUUCGUCUAGUUUUUUUUUAUUUUUUUCUUCUUUUUUCUUCUUUCACUUUUGUAAACAUAUGAAAAUAGAGAAGAGAAUGAGAGAGAGCACGCUUACCAAACCUUCAUGUUCAUAGUUGGAGUUCUCCUCCGUUGGCAGAUUCGGGCCAUUGUUUGCGUACUGUCAGCCACCGGAUAUGGUGGUGGUCCGGCCGCAGCAUGAUAUUUGGAUGAAACCCUAGCUGAAAGGGUUAAGAACUUUGGGGUUUUCUAAAAGGGAUUUGUAAUGUUUAAAAAAAAAGAAAUAAUAUGAAGGUUUAAGAGCAAAAUUUGAAAUGGCACCGUUUAAAGGGGGAAGGGGUCCGCGGGUUGACCCAAUCCAUAGGCAGGAUCCGCGCCUUUUCGCUUCAAAUGGGUAAUCUGUG